rnacentral:rRNA from 1 species
GUAGGUGGCAAGCGUUGUCCGGAAUUAUUGGGCGUAAAGCGCGCGCAGGUGGUUCUUUAAGUCUGAUGUGAAAGCCCCCGGGCUCAACCGGGGAGGGUCAUUGGAAACUGGGGAACUUGAGUGCAGGAGAGGAAAGUGGAAUUCCACGUGUAGCGGUGAAAUGCGUAGAUAUGUGGAGGGACACCAGUGGCGAAGGCGACUUUCUGGCCUGUAACUGACACUGAGGCGCGAAAGCGUGGGGAGCAAACAGGAUUAGAUACCCUGGUAGUCCACGCCGUAAACGAUGAGUGCUAAGUGUUGGGGGGUUUCCGCCCCUCAGUGCUGCAGCUAACGCAUUAAGCACUCCGCCUGGGGAGUACGGUCGCAAAGACUG